ensembl:lncRNA
GAGACAGACAGGAGACAGACAGGAGGCAGACAGGAUGCAGACAGGAGAUAGACAGGAGACAGACAGGAGACAGACAGGAGACAUACAGGAGACAGACAGGAGAUAGACAGGAGACAGACAGGAUACAGACAGGAUGCAGACAGGAUGCAGACAGGAGAUAGACAGGAGACAGACAGGAGACAGACAGGAGACAUACAGGAGACAGACAGGAGAUAGACAGGAGGCAGACACAGGAAAGGCAGGAGGCAGACAGGAGACAGACAGGGGACAGACAGGAGACAGACAGGAGGCAGACACGAGACAGGCAGGAGGCAGACAGGAGACAGACAGGGGACAGACAGGAGACAGACAGGAGGCAGACAGGAGACAGUCAGGAGACAGACCGGAGACAGACAGGAGACAGGCAGGAGACAAACAGGAGACAGACAGGAGGCAGACAGGAG